rnacentral:rRNA from 1 species
GUGGGGAAUAUUGGGCAAUGGGCGAAAGCCUGACCCAGCAACGCCGCGUGAGGGAAGAAGGCCUUCGGGUUGUAAACCUCUGUCCUUGGUGACGAAAAAAAUGACGGUAGCCAAGGAGGAAGCCCCGGCUAACUACGUGCCAGCAGCCGCGGUAAUACGUAGGGGGCGAGCGUUGUCGGGAAUUACUGGGCGUAAAGGGUGCGUAGGUGGCCUUUUAAGUUGGAUGUGAAAUACCCGGGCUUAACUUGGGGGGUGCAUCUAAUACUGGAGGGCUAGAGUGCAGGAGAGGGAAGCGGAAUUCCUAGUGUAGCGGUGAAAUGCGUAGAUAUUAGGAGGAACACCAGUGGCGAAGGCGGCUUUCUGGACUGUAACUGACACUGAGGCACGAAAGCGUGGGGAGCAAACAGGAUUAGAUACCCUUGUAGUCC